rnacentral:snRNA from 1 species
AGUGGCUAACAGUUUCAAAUUCAGUAAAUUUUUGGAGGCUCUGGGGUAGUCCAAACCAGUGCCA